rnacentral:rRNA from 1 species
AUUGAACGCUGGCGGCAUGCUUUACACAUGCAAGUCGAACGGUAACAGGUUAAGCUGACGAGUGGCGAACGGGUGAGUAAUGUAUCGGAACGUGCCCAGUCGUGGGGGAUAACGUAGCGAAAGCUACGCUAAUACCGCAUACGAUCUGUGGAUGAAAGCGGGGGACCGUAAGGCCUCGCGCGAUUGGAGCGGCCGAUAUCAGAUUAGGUAGUUGGUGGGGUAAAGGCCCACCAAGCCAACGAUCUGUAGCUGGUCUGAGAGGACGACCAGCCACACUGGGACUGAGACACGGCCCAGACUCCUACGGGAGGCAGCAGUGGGGAAUUUUGGACAAUGGGGGCAACCCUGAUCCAGCAAUGCCGCGUGCAGGAAGAAGGCCUUCGGGUUGUAAACUGCUUUUGUACGGAACGAAAAGGCUCUGGUUAAUACCUGGGGUUUAUGACGGUACCGUAAGAAUAAGCACCGGCUAACUACGUGCCAGCCGCCGCAGUAACAC